GACGAACGCUGGCGGCGUGCUUAACACAUGCAAGUCGAACGGUGACCUCGAGAGCUUGCUCUCGGGCGAUCAGUGGCGAACGGGUGAGUAACACGUGAGUAACCUGCCCCAGACUCUGGAAUAACCCCGGGAAACCGGAGCUAAUACCGGAUACGAGACGGAGUCGCAUGGCUACCGUCUGGAAAGUUUUUCGGUCUGGGAUGGACUCGCGGCCUAUCAGCUAGUUGGUGAGGUAACGGCUCACCAAGGCGACGACGGGUAGCCGGCCUGGGAGGGCGACCGGCCACACUGGGACUGAGACACGGCCCAGACUCCUACGGGAGGCAGCAGUGGGGAAUAUUGCACAAUGGGCGAAAGCCUGAUGCAGCGACGCCGCGUGAGGGAUGACGGCCUUCGGGUUGUAAACCUCUAUCAGCAGGGAAGAAGCGAAAGUGACGGUACCUGCAGAAGAAGCACCGGCUAACUACGUGCCAGCAGCCGCAGUAAGAC
rnacentral:rRNA from 1 species